GGCCAGUAUGGUACAUUCAUUGAUUGAAGCGUAUUCCUUACUUGACCAGAUGAAUCAAGCCAAAAGUGGCCUCCAUGGAGGAGAUGGCAAGCUUCCACACAGAUGCCUACCUGCAGCACCUGCAGAAGGUCAGUGAGGAGGGAGAUGAUGACCAUCCGGAGUCCGUGGAGUAUGGACUGGGUUAUGACUGUCCGGCUACUGAAGGGAUCUUUGAGUAUGCGGCAGCCGUGGGAGGAGCCACCAUCACUGCAGCCCAGUGCCUGCUGGACGGCAAGUGCAAGGUAGCAAUUAACUGGCCUGGAGGGUGGCAUCAUGCAAAGAAAGAUGAAGCUUCUGGCUUCUGUUACCUGAAUGAUGCUGUCUUGGGGAUCCUGCGUCUGCGCCAGAAAUUUGACCGUGUCCUUUAUAUCGAUUUGGAUUUGCAUCAUGGGGAUGGAGUUGAAGAUGCCUUUAGUUUCACCUCAAAAGUCAUGACUGUUUCUCUGCACAAGUUUUCACCAGGAUUUUUCCCAGGCACUGGUGAUGUGACAGAUGUUGGCUUGGGGAAAGGCCGCUAUUACAGUGUGAAUGUACCUAUUCAAGAUGGCAUUCAGGAUGAGAAAUAUUACCAGAUCUGUGAAACCGUGCUGAAGGAGGUGUACGCCGCAUUCAACCCAGACGCGGUCGUGCUGCAGCUGGGGGCAGACACCAUUGCCGGAGAUCCCAUGUGCUCUUUCAACAUGACACCUGAGGGAGUGGGCAAGUGCCUGAAGUAUGUCCUGCAGUGGCAGCUAGCAACUCUCAUCCUGGGAGGAGGAGGCUACAACCUUGCCAACACAGCUCGCUGCUGGACAUACUUGACUGGGGUCAUCCUUGGGAGAACGCUGUCCUCCGAGAUCCCUGAUCACGAGCACUUCUUUCCCUGCAGCCAUUCCACAUUCCCAUCUCCUGAACCUCUUUCAGACCAUCUUUCAGACCAGCAAAGCACUCGACAGUUGUGCUACUACAGUGGGCACUGCCCCUUUGUCUGGGACACCCUGCUGAUGCCAGGGAAGACAUUUGCAGUGCCAGUUCUUCACAGAGUACGGUCCUGAUUACGUGCUGGAGAUCACACCAAGCUGCAGACCAGAUCGCAAUGAGCCACAGAGAAUUCAGGAAAUUCUUAACUCUAUCAAAGGGAAUCUGAAGCAUGUUGUUUAGCGGAGAAGGAAGGCUCAGGUUUCCACAAGAGCAUUUCCCAUGGGGAAGACGGCGUGUUUAUGUGAGCAGCUGGUGAAAUUUGUAGCUGUGGGGGAAAUUUGGAAGAAAUUACUGUUGGUUGGUUGAUUUUUUUUCUCUUUAAAGAAGAAAAGCUGCUGCACACCAUGAGCACCAUGGCUCUCCCCAGGCAGGAGUGUGGGCCCUCCAGCCACAGCCUUCCAGUGCUGGCAGAGCCUUCCUUGCUCCUUUCCGUUUCCUUUUUUAACACCACAGAGUUUAUUCUCACAACUGGUUUUAAAUGUUUUUUAAGAGAGGGGCUGCUCAGAGCUGUGGACCCUCCCCAGCUGGAACCCAGUGCCACAUUGCCUUCCUGGCAGGAGCAUGGCCUCUGAGCUGCCCACCCGGGGAGCGGUGCCAAGGGCCAGCUGGGGCCUGGGGCACAGGCUCUGCCUCUUUCCCACAGAAAGGCACAGCCAUUGUGUUUUUAACUGGGAAUUUUUUUAAAAUAAAGAAUUUGAAAUACUCCUCCAGCCCCUUCCUUUCUUCCUGCGCCCAUCCUGCCUAGCCAGUGCUCUUUUCCACAGCACUUCACAUGUUCAGCGGAGGUCCAGCCAGCGCUGAAAAGCAAAGAUCUGCAGUUGUUUGCAACGGUCCUUUCCAGCCUCCCUAAGGCAGCACAGACACCACCCCCCUCGCCUGGGGUGAUGGGUGGGCUCCUGAAAUCCUGUGUGGAGGGGACAGACCCUGGGGAUGCUCUCCCGUGUCCAGGGAGGUGCAGGGCAGGGUGCAGCUCCUCCAGUGCCCCAUGAGAGCUCCCACUCAGCAUCUCAGCAAGGAGACAGGUACACAAAUACCUGGGGCAGGUCCCUCCUGGAGCCCCGGGCCAUGGAGUCCGGCCUCUGCUGCCCUUGUCCCCUCCUUCACCUGGCCCACGGAGCUUUUAUUUGUGCUGUUUCUUUUUAAAGAGGUCCAGUCGCCGUGGGAAAGCAUAUUUCCUGUUGCUUUAAUUAGAUUACGCUGGAAUAAAUAGCAAG